AAGAAUCAAAUCAGACCUGUGGCAUUUAAACUAGUGCAGUGCAGUCCAAUUGCCUGCGGGGACUUUUUAGCCUCUCAACCUGACAUUUAGAGCAACCGAGAACUUAUCAUUAACUGCUCUGAAAUGUCAGCGAGGCACAAUUUGUCCACAUCAGUUAACCCGACCAAUUAUACGAAAUAUAUUUAGAAUUCACCAUAUAAGCGUCAACGCGCUGAUUCUUUUUGAAAUACAACCUACAAGGUUGUUUUCUGUGCUCUUUCGACGACAGCGAGUGGAAAUUAGAGUGUGCGUGCAUCUGCGCGUGUCAGCUCGUUCAGAUCGUUCAUUGAUUGCCGUGUCACAGACAGCUGAAGGUCACAAUCGCAGCGGGAACCAAGUGGGUCGCCAUCGAUCGGUCGAGCGAGGCCGCGGCCGGCCGGACACUACUUUCUAAAUGUGACGAGAACAUUCCAAUGCAGAAUGCAGCUUGGAGGAGCGAUACAUGCACAAGCCAUAGCGGGGAGUUUUCUUUAGCUUGGAACCUAUAAAGAAAGCUCCUACUCCAGCCACCACAAUGCACACGCCUUCAUUGAAGCAGAAAUUGGGUUCCACGUCGCACUGAGACACGCACAUGCCGGGUCCCGAACGCACGAAGCCCAGCCGGCACCCGUCGCUCCCCAUGGCGCCACCCAAGCUCAAGUCCUUGUUCUCGUCAGGAUCCGGUUUGGGCUGGCUAGGUGAACCUGGUGCCUUGCAUCAACCAAUCAGUUCUCUCAACCAGGUGACCUGCCAAGGUGUAGUUUGUUAGUUUGACAGGUGCUUGUAUAUAAGCAUGCUACUUUCGCUCUGUUCUUCUUAUUUCUUUGUGUAUACUGCCACAUAUCAUGUUUUUUUGUUUUGACUUUUAUCCUACUGUCCAUUUGUAUCUUUAAGUGUUGCGUUUGAACUUUAGUUUACUAGUUGCCAGUGUCAUCUUUUUUUUUUUUUUGUCACAUUCCCAAGUCAUAGAGUAUUUUGUUUGUAACUUUGAAUUUUACUUUUGGACUUUGAUUUUGUAUUUUUUUUAAAUCCAUGUACCUAGUUAAUGUUUUUUUUAAUUUUAUUAUUACUUUAAGAUUAGGGUGUUGAGUUUUAUCCCAGCAUUUGUCUGUAACUUUGAAUUUUACUUUUGGGCUUUGAUUUUGUAUUUUCUUUUUAGUUAAGGUUUUUUUUAAAAAUUAUUUUAAGAUUUAAUUCCCAUGUACCCUUUCCAACUGAGCUGUAUCAAAUCCCACCAAAUGGACAAUUCCAAUUUAAAAUGAACCAUCACUGAAUCUUCCCACACCAUCUAACUAUUCUCAUCCAUUCCUGCUGACAAAAAAUGCGUUGACGUUAAAACCUUCCGAACGUGCCUGAAGGCACGAAACCUUCGCGGUGGCCGAGGAAGCAUGAGUGUGUCUCUCACGCGCACGCACAAAUACAUGCACGCGCACACACAGUGCAGUUGCCAUGGUGAGAUGCAAAAAGGAGGAGAGAAGCAAAGAGUGCAAUAGAGGAAACAGAGAAUCCACUGUGUGCUCCUACUGCUGCUCUUGUUUUUUAAUCAAUUGGCCCGACUCAAUCUAAGUGAUGUCUGCCAACUUCAGCUCUGGAGGGAAAAAAUCAAAAGUAAUGAAAGUCUUGUUCCACCGAAACCAAUUCCAAUUGACUCAAACUAUUUCUUUUCAUGCUGGUAUUUGCCAAUCUGGUCUCAAACGUCGCCUCCUGUUAGCAGCUUGCAGUCUUAGCCAUCUAUGAGAACUAAACGGAGCAAAUUGAAUUCACUGCUUUGCUGUUGGCUUUUCUUUGAAACUGCCACUCUGUCUUCACCUUCUAUUGUCACCAUGGUAACGGGUUUGACUAGCGAUACAGCACACCGGGUCGAGGCACAAUCAAUCAAACAAACAUGGUGCAUCA